rnacentral:lncRNA from 1 species
AUUUUCAGGAAGAGCAGAAACUGCACCACAGUGUUUUGGGUAGAUAAGGCUUACCCUGGUGGGGAGAGAGGUCCUGGAAGGGGAUUGUUGGAGAAGAUAGGAGAAAGUGAAGAAGGGAAGAAGAGAAAAAAACAGAGAAGAAAGAAGGAAAAGAAGAUAGAGGGACAAGUAGAAGAAGGAAAGGAAAGGAAAAGCAAGGAAAAAGGAUAACCUGUCCUCUUUGACUAGUAGGCUCACCAACUCUUCUUUACCAUGGAAGGGAUUUCAGUAGGACCAAAGGCUUUUCCCAUGAAAUAGUAUUUUAUCUUGAUAAGAACCUAGCACAUUGGUUACCAACCUCCUUAAAUUGAUUCCCUCAAAAGGAAGAAAGUGUAUCUGGAAAUCCUCUGAAACUUCCAGAGUCCCCCAAGCCCAGUGCUAUUUCUACCAGGGGAGAAAGCAGAGCUCUUUGUAUAUAUGGGUAGGAGCAAAGUAAGAUUCUCCUCCCCCUUUCCCCACAACCCGAAGCAGAAGUUUCUCCUGAGAUUUCAACCAGUAAAAUCACCAUAUAAUAGAUUAGGCAUCCUGAGAAGUUCUUAAUGGAACGAGAGCUCUCACUAAUCAAAGCAGGAAAGAACAGGGCCUUGAAGAAAUCAGAAAUCUAAUUAAGGUGGAAUUUCAAGAGAUCUGACUGAAUGUUAAAUAAGUUGUAGAAGCCUCAUCAAAAGGAUUAACUCAGCUGCAGAGACAACGCAGAAGUGCAGGUGGGGAUUCUGCAUGAAGACUGGAAAAAAAAACAGUGACAAGAACUGAAAGUGGUCAUUGUGUUCAUGGUGUGUCUAAAGGACAGAUAAAAGAAAGAGGUGCCCCUGACCCCUCCUUUCAUCCCAUCUUAGUUGAUGAGGUUUGGGGAAAAGAAGAGUUUGUUAAGCUCAUUUAAUCUGUUUUGUCUUGUCCAUGUUUUCAUCAAGCAACUUUCUGAUUAAUUUGGCUUUUAGAAUAUAUUUUUCCAAGCAAGACAGAGAUUGUUAUUCAGCCAACAUGAGCAUUCCCAGCUGUUUUUGGGUUAUAUUAGCUCUGGAAUUAAAACAAAACCAAACAAAAAA